CCCUUCGGGGACAUUGGUGACAGGUGGUGCAUGGUUGUCGUCAGCUCGUGUCGUGAGAUGUUGGGUUAAGUCCCGCAACGAGCGCAACCCUUGUCUUUAGUUGCCAUCAUUAAGUUGGGCACUCUAGGGAGACUGCCAGGGAUAACCUGGAGGAAGGUGGGGAUGACGUCAAAUCAUCAUGCCCCUUAUGCUUAGGGCUACACACGUGCUACAAUGGGUAGUACAGAGGGUUGCCAAGCCGUAAGG
rnacentral:rRNA from 1 species